rnacentral:sRNA from 1 species
GACAAACUCUCCGCAGUAGUACGCGACAGUUUUCUCUAAACUCAAAGGGGGGGAAAGGGAAUGAAUGUCGAACCCCUUUUCGCUUGGCCCACUUGAAUAUUGAUUUCUUGCGUAAUCUUUGCGGCACGCCCGCCGGCCAGGGUGGCCCAACCUCUCACUGGCUUCACCAACUCCAAAUCCAGCUCCGAUAGUGGCCUGGCCCCCAUUGACGUUUCAUAUUUAUUAAUGAGGCGCAUUUGUGUUUGGAAUUUUUAAUUGGACAAAGGUGACAGGAGCGGGAGCAAGGAGCAGGAGUAGGAGCAGGAGUAGGAGCAGCAAAGAGCUAAAUGGGGGAGGUAUGCCAUGGCUGGUGGUAUAUCUGGCAGCCAGGAGGCACAAAUCGAUAAGCAAUUUAUGUUCAAAGUUUUCGCUCAAAACUUGGCAAACAGCUUCUGUUCGGCAAUCUGUUCGCUUCCCCAGACCAUCGUUUUGGAUUUUGAAAACCAAAUCAAACUAAAUCAGCAUCAGCACAAAAUCUUAAAUGAUGUUUACACACUGCCAGCCAAAAACAAUUGACAGACAGCAGCGACAGAGAUGACGACAACAGAACAUCCUCGAUGGCAGUUUCCUGCAUUUAACCCAGCAAUGAAAGUUGACAGAGCGCUGCAGAGUCAACCAAAAUGGUAAAGCUCAAAUGUCGAAUUUUAAGUGACAACUUAAGAGUCGCAAUCUCUAAAGGAAG